UUUACAAAGGGCCUGUAAUCUGGCAAAAUAUUUAAUCGCGUAGGUCUGAAAAAUUCAGACCCAUUCUUAAAAAAAAAAGAAUGUCCAAGCGUG
rfam:Prochlorococcus marinus MED4 complete genome.